GACGAACGCUGGCGGCGUGCUUAACACAUGCAAGUCGAACGGAAAGGCCCUGCUUUUGUGGGGUGCUCGAGUGGCGAACGGGUGAGUAACACGUGAGUAACCUGCCCUUGACUUUGGGAUAACUUCAGGAAACUGGGGCUAAUACCGGAUAGGAGCUCCUGCUGCAUGGUGGGGGUUGGAAAGUUUCGGCGGUUGGGGAUGGACUCGCGGCUUAUCAGCUUGUUGGUGGGGUAGUGGCUUACCAAGGCUUUGACGGGUAGCCGGCCUGAGAGGGUGACCGGCCACGUUGUGCUUGAGAUACGGCCCAGACUCCUACGUGAGGCAGCAGUGGGGAAUAUUGCACAAUGGGCUGAAGCCUGAUGCAGCAACGCCGCGUGCGGGAUGACGGCCUUCUGGUUGUAAACCGCUUUCGCCUGUGACGAAGCGUGAGUGACGGUAAUGGGUAAAGAAGCACCGGCUAACUACGUG
rnacentral:rRNA from 1 species